UCUGUUAAAGGAGCACUAUAGCGUCAGGAACACAAACAUGUAUUCCUGACUCUAUAGCGUUAAAACCAUGAUCUAGCCACCCUAGUCCCCUCAUGCCUCCCUAAAUAUAGUAAACUCUUACUUUUAUUCAAGUCUGCAGCUGCUUAUUUUGUCCCUGUUUCCUUUAGACCUGCCCACUGCCUACUGACAUUAGCAGAGGUGGUAGCCUGAUCCAAUCACAAUGCUUC